GCCAGUGGAGGACCGAACCGAUAGGCGUUGAAAAGCCUCCGGAUGACCUGUGGAUAGGGGUGAAAGGCCAAUCAAACUUCGUGAUAGCUGGUUCUCUCCGAAAUAUAUUUAGGUAUAGCCUCUAGAAGUAGCAUGUAGGGGUAGAGCACUGAAUGGGCUAGGGCUGCUCACCGCGGUACCAAACCCUAUCAAACUUCGAAUACUACAUGUGGAAUCUAGGGAGUCAGGCGUAGGGUGAUAAAAUCAUAUGUCGAGAGGGGAACAACCCAGACUAACAGCUAAGGUCCCAAAGUUACAUCUAAGUGGAAAACGAUGUGGAGUUACUGUGACAACCAGGAGGUUGGCUUAGAAGCAGCCAUCCUUUAAAGAAAGCGUAACAGCUCACUGGUCUAGUGAUUCUGCGCGGAAAAUAUAACGGGGCUAAGAUGUACACCGAAGCUUUAGAUUCAUAUUAUAUAUGAGUGGUAGGAGAGCGUUCUAUUCAGCGUAGAAGAUGUACCGGUAAGG
rnacentral:rRNA from 1 species